UACGGAGGGUGCGAGCGUUGUCCGGAAUCAUUGGGCGUAAAGGGCGCGUAGGUGGCCCCGGUCAGUCCGUGGUGAAAGCGCGGGGCUCAACCCCGCGUCGGCCAUGGAUACUGCUGGGCUGGAGCACUGUAGAGGCAGGCGGAAUUCCGGGUGUAGCGGUGGAAUGCGUAGAGAUCCGGAAGAACACCGGUGGCGAAGGCGGCCUGCUGGGCAGUUGCUGACACUGAGGCGCGACAGCGUGGGGAGCAAACAGG
rnacentral:rRNA from 1 species